AUUGAACGCUGGCGGCAGGCCUAACACAUGCAAGUCGAGCGGGAGAGCGGUGCUUGCUCGUGGUUCCAGCGGCGGACGGGCGAGUGAGGCCUAGGAAUCUCCCUGGCUGCGGUGUAGAACGUCCUGAAACGGGCGCUAAUACCGCAAUAGCGCAGAGGGAGAACGGGGGGGAGCUUGGGACCUUCCGCCCUUAGGUGAGUGUAGGUCGGGUUAGCUAGUUGGUGGGGUAAAGGCCUACCAAGGCGACGAUCCGUCGCUGGUCUGAGAGGAUGAGCGGACACACUGGAACUGAGACACGGUCCAGACUCCUACGGGAGGCAGCAGUGGGGAAUAUUGGACAAUGGGCGAAAGCCUGAUCCAGCCAUGCCGCGUGUGUGAAGAAGGCCUUCGGGUUGUAAAGCCCUUUUGUUGGGGAAGAACGGCAGUAGGUUAAUACCCUGCUGUUUUGACGGUACCAACAGAAUAAGCACCGGCUAACUUCGUG
rnacentral:rRNA from 1 species